rnacentral:rRNA from 1 species
GACGAACGCUGGCGGCGUGCUUAACACAUGCAAGUCGAACGGAAAGGCCCGGCGUUUGUUGGUUUCUCGAUUGGCGAGCGGGGGAGUAACACGUGAGUAACCUGCCCUUGACUGUGUGAUAACUUCAGGAAACUGGGGCUAAUACCGGAGAGGAUCUCCUGCUGCAUGGGGUUGGUUGGAAAGUUUCGGCGUUUGGGGAUGGACUCGCGGCUUAUCAGCUAGUUGGUGUGGUAGUUGCGUACCACGGCUUUGACGGGUAGCCGGCCUGGGAGGGUGACCGGCCACCUUGGGACUGAGAUACGGAGCAGACUCGUACGGGCGGCAGCAGUGGGGAAUAUGGCAGAGUGGGCGGAAGUCUGAUGUAGCAACGCCGGGUGCGGAAUGCCGGCUUUCGGGUUGAAAACAGCUUUCGCAUGUGACGAAGAGUGCGUGACGGUACCGGGUAAAAAAGCCACGGCUAACUACGUG